rnacentral:tRNA from 1 species
GGGUAAUUAACUUAAUGGUCAGAGUAUUUCUUUUACACAGAAAAAGUUAGCGGUUCAAAUCCGUUAUUACCUA